rnacentral:lncRNA from 1 species
GAAAAGCUGAAGAGUUUUUCUUCUUUUUAUUUUCUUCCUUUUUGUGAGUGUGGAGAAAAAGAGAAAAGUUUUUGAUGAGUGAUGGGUGGUAGGUAGUAUAGGUCAGUGGUGGUUGGAAGAAGGAGGGUGGCGGUGAGCGACGAUGAAGGUGAAUAGGGACGGAGGUUUUCGAUGAGAGAGUGAAAACUCAACAUAUUUUCUUCUUUUUUUUGUUUUUUGUCUUUUCCUCAGUGAGAGGGUGAGAUUGAGAAAGAAGGGAGAGAUGUGUG